ACGUGAGAAUUUACCUUUAGGAGGGGAAUAACAGUUGGAAACGAUUGCUAAUGCCGCAUAUCAUUUAGAUGAAAGAAGAAAUUCGCCUAAAGAAAAGCUUGCGUCUGAUUAGCUAGUUGGUAAGGGUAAAGGCCUACCAAGGCGACGAUCAGUAGCUGGUUUGAGAGGACGACCAGUCACACUGGGACUGAGACACGGCCCAGACUCCUACGGGAGGCAGCAGUGGGGAAUAUUGCACAAUGGGGGAAACCCUGAUGCAGCCAUGCCGCGUGUGUGAAGAAGGCCCUUCGGUUGUUAAAG
rnacentral:rRNA from 1 species